rnacentral:rRNA from 1 species
AGUGAACGCUGGCGGUAGGCCUAACACAUGCAAGUCGAACGGCAGCACAGUAAGAGCUUGCUCUUACGGGUGGCGAGUGGCGGACGGGUGAGGAAUACAUCGGAAUCUACUUUUUCUUGGGGGAUAACGUAGGGAAACUUACGCUAAUACCGCAUACGACCUACGGGUGAAAGCAGGGGAUCUUCGGACCUUGCGCGAUUGAAUGAGCCGAUGUCGGAUUAGCUAGUUGGCGGGGUAAAGGCUCACCAAGGCGACGAUCCGUAGCUGGUCUGAGAGGAUGAUCAGCCACACUGGAACUGAGACACGGUCCAGACUCCUACGGGAGGCAGCAGUGGGGAAUAUUGGACAAUGGGCGCAAGCCUGAUCCAGCCAUACCGCGUGGGUGAAGAAGGCCUUCGGGUUGUAAAGCCCUUUUGUUGGGAAAGAAAAGCAGCAGGUUAAUACCCCGCUGUUCUGACGGUACCCAAAGAAUAAGCACCGGCUAACUUCGUG